AGAGUUUGAUCAUGGCUCAGAUUGAACGCUGGCGGCAUGCCUUACACAUGCAAGUCGAGCGGCAGCGCGGGGAGGGGCAACUCUUCCUGGCGGCGAGCGGCGAACGGGUGAGUAAUGCAUCGGAACGUGUCCUCUUGUGGGGGAUAACCAGUCGAAAGAUUGGCUAAUACCGCAUGAGAUCGAAAGAUGAAAGCGGGGGACCGCAAGGCCUCGCGCGAGAGGAGCGGCCGAUGCCGGAUUAGCUAGUUGGUGGGGUAAAGGCCUACCAAGGCGACGAUCCGUAGCUGGUCUGAGAGGACGACCAGCCACACUGGGACUGAGACACGGCCCAGACUCCUACGGGAGGCAGCAGUGGGGAAUUUUGGACAAUGGGGGCAACCCUGAUCCAGCCAUGCCGCGUGUGUGAAGAAGGCCUUCGGGUUGUAAACCGCUUUCAUACGGAACGAAAUCGCGCGCAUGAAUAAUGCGCGUGGAUGACGGUACCGUAAGAAGAAGCACCGGCUAACUACGUGCCAGCAGCCGCGGUAAUACGUAGGGUGCAAGCGUUAAUCGGAAUUACUGGGCGUAAAGGGUGCGCAGGCGGCCCCGCAUGUCAGGCGUGAAAUCCCCGAGCUCAACUUGGGAAUGGCGCUUGAAACUACGGGGCUGGAGUGUGGCAGAGGGAGGUGGAAUUCCAGGUGUAGCGGUGAAAUGCGUAGAGAUCUGGAGGAACACCGAUGGCGAAGGC
rnacentral:rRNA from 1 species